rnacentral:rRNA from 1 species
UACGGGGGGAGCAAGCGUUGUUCGGAUUUACUGGGCGUAAAGGCGCGUAGGCGGCCACCGCAAGUCGACUGUGAAAUCUCCGGGCUUAACCCGGAAAGGUCAGCCGAUACUGCGGGGCUAGAGUGCAGAAGGGGCAACUGGAAUUCUCGGUGUAGCGGUGAAAUGCGUAGAUAUCGAGAGGAACACCUGCGGCGAAGGCGGGUUGCUGGGCUGACACUGACGCUGAGGCGCGAAAGCUAGGGGAGCGAACGGG